rnacentral:lncRNA from 1 species
UCACCAGACUUGCCAAAGGCCACUUACACAAAGUAAACAGGCAUUUACUAAAUACUUGCGUUGCAAGUUGAACGGGGAGUGAGGAGUAACCAGGGAAAAGAAGCAGAUGAGGACACCAUUUACAAGGAUGCCUUGCCCUGGGAAUCCUCCCCACAGGAGUAAGAAGGGAGCUACACUUUACAUAGCAUGUCUGAAGAGUAGUUCCCAAAUACUUGUUCUUGGACAUGGCAGAGCUGGAUGCCCAAGAAUCUCCUGGGAAACAUUAAUUACAAAAACCAAGCAAAACAGAACCCCUGGCUCCACGUUGAUUUGGAGGGGGUAAGAUGGGAUGCACCAAGGGUGGGGGUGGUAACCACCGAUAUGGAAAGCAUUGUUUUGCAUUGGUAGUUAGAUCAUUUGGGCUUU